GAAUAUCAAGUUCUCCGAGCUUUUAGAUCUAAGGUUUACUAUGGUUUAAAAGCCUGUGGGUAUAUGCGGAAACGGAUAUGCCUUCCCGUAUUGUGAAAAGGAGAUGCUCAGCAGGCAGG
rfam:Syntrophomonas wolfei subsp. wolfei str. Goettingen, complete genome.